GCUAGAAAAGGAGCAGUGCAAAACUGGAAGGUAUUAGGUAUCCCUAAGAAGAGUGCAAAUUGACCGUUGAUGGAGGAAGUGAUACUUGGUUGCUGGGGUAAGCAAAAGUUUGUUUUCCCAAACACGGAAGUUGGCUUUUAGUAUCUUCCCAGGAACAUUAUCUUCUCAAAGGGAAGUUCUCUUGCUGUUUUCUAGAACCAUCAUCCAAUUCUAUCUGCUGUUAGCAUGGUGAGUUCACAACACAUCUUAAAAUGCCACUGUCUUCCGCCUGUGCGGAGAUGAAUCUGGUUUAUAUCUUGGCUACAGCUGAUAGCCCUGUUUCUCUUGCUGCGUAUCUCUGUUGUUAAUAGAAACUCUAAUCGCUUUGGCACUGGUACCCAGAUCAGAUUGCUUGGGGCACUGGAACAACUGGGAGGUGGCCAGAGUUGAUGCAUUAUUUCAGCAGCUAUUUGUGAACGAAUUUCGGCCAAUUCCUAGAAUGGGUAUCUAUGCUUUGGGGCUCUGUAACGUCCCCUACAAAGGCAUCAACGCGUCUCACAGGCAGACUGAUUAAAAAAAAAUACCCAACCUGGUCAGACACUCUGAUUCUCACAUAAUUCUCCUGCAUUCAAACCUAACAUGCAGCCUGAACUUUCUUCUUCUUCCUCUUAUGUCAAAAAUGCCUUCUGCAGAUUUAUUGGUCAGGAAGAGAAGCUAAUUCAAAUAACAGCAAGGGUAGCCUGCUUUAAUGGUUACCUUGCAGUAACAAUUAAGGUUAUGUUUAAUUUUCAAACUGUGCAACAGAAAAUUAUGCAUUUCUCCUAAUGAAAAAAAGGGAACACAAUGGCUCAGUAUUAAAGAUGCUAAGUUUGUCAAGACCCAAGCGCCGUGCAACGGGGUGAGUUCCCUCAGCUCCUGCCCAGCUAGCAGUUUGAAAGCAUGCAAAUGCGAGUAAAUAAAUAGGUACCACUUUGGUAGGAAGGUAACAGUGUUCCAUGUGCCUUUGGUGUAUAGCCGUGCUGGCCAUAUGAGUGUGGAAAAUGUCUUUGGACAAUGUGGGCUCCCUCAGCCCAAAAACGGAGAUGAGCACUGUGCCCUAGAAUCAAACACGAGUGGAUAGGAAAACCUUUAACUUUUACCUGAUGAAAACAGAGGAUCAGACUUAGAAGUACAUAGGAAAACUUGGAAACAUAAAUAAAUCUUCAGGGUAGAAGUGCUCCUCAUAUACUGAAUUCAGAUAUUAAUAUGCAUCUUCUAAGAACGUUAUUCUGCCUAACAGAUUCUCCCAAUAAAAGGACCAAAUAUUUUUGAAAAUCUUCCCAAGCCAGAAUCUAAUAACCUUAUUCAAAAGGUUAUUCCACACUUUUAAAACUUCUCUACCAAUUAACAUCAUUUGGUAUUGAGUGGAAUUGAAGAAGACAUCAAAACUUAAAAGUGUUUAACUACCGUAUAUUUUUUUUCAAACUCUGUUGGACAUCAAUAUAUUCUUUUUUUCUGUCUCUUCCCUUUAAAACGUGGGAGAGGAAUGUGAAGGAUUCAUGCAGUUUAAACAGGCCUGUGGCAAGUGAGGUAUAUGCUGAUGUAUACUGAGGAAAAAAAGAAUUUUUAGUCAUAUGAGAUGAUAGUGUUACCAUGCUAAAUGGGAACAAAUCACAGUGUGCGAUUUAUGUUAUAUGAUUGAAAACGAAAAGAUUGCCACUAUUGUGAAAGGAAUAUGGACUGUAUUUGAGUAUUUGUAGAAGAGAGUGAAGAAUUAAAAACUGCGGAUGAUCAAUUUCCAGUUUGGAGGGCAGAAAAUAAGAAUCAAACAUUUUCUCACAUGUCUGUGGGUUUGUCCUUAAUUCCAGGCUUAAUGCAUUUUAAGACAUGAAUAGAGAUAAUAAAAUUAAAAGCACUUGUAAAAAUUAAGCCGUAUUUUAUAGAACCCACUUCGUAGAAAUAAAAAUACAUGUUACCCAAUCCCAUCCUAAGAAGCUAACCAGUUAAUCUUGGGCAAGUGACAAUGUUAAAUUCAUUUAGUGCAUUUUAAAUUCAUUUCUUAAUUCAAAGGGCUAAUGUAGAUUUAAAAGGUCUGCAUUCCAUGGAGAAAAGGCUGGAUGUAAAUGUAAAAAAAAAAAUGUCUUGGAUUUUGGUACAUACAAAUGAAAAAAAAUUAAAUAACCAAACCCAUUGAGUUCCUUUUUGUGUGAUAUAUAAUAUUAAAAGGAUAAUGACGAUGCAUUACUUUCAAACAAGUAAUUUUUUCUUUUGGGAAGGAGGCGAUUCUUGAUAGUGUUGAAUUAUUAUAAUGUUUCUUAUUUUUAAUUCUUGAGUUAGUGUAAUGAACUGAAUUUGAGAAAGUAUACCAUGCUUGAGGGGAAACUCUCUGUUUUUUGCCUGAAAACGGUGAAAGUAUCUUAAAAGCUGAUUCUAAUUUAAACUUUUCAAGUCUCUCUCUCUCUCUUUUUCUCUCUCUCUCUCUAGCUUGAGGACACGGCAGGCCCUAGUCACAGGCAUAUUACAGAGCUAAAUAGUGAUGUGAUCCUAGAUAUCCGAUUUCUGCACCCUUCUCAUUCAUAUCACAAAGAUACCAUUAUUUCUGUGGGUUCAAAAGUUCUGUUCUCACGGCUAGCUCAUCAUCUCUAAUUUCAUUGCUGUUGUCUGACUCCUUGGUGAUUGUGCUCCUUGGUGGUUGUGAUAAUUUGUGGAGAAGAUAACAAUUUUCAUUUUAUUUUUCCUUCAUACUGCAAUUUUUUUAUAUAAUUAUGGCAUAUCAACAUGCUAUUGCUUAAGAAUUGAUAAAACUUUUUUUUAAAUAGAGUAAUUUAAGAACAUAACCGUGUGAGCUAAAGUAUUUUAAAGUAUUUUGUGCUUCUCUCAAAAUUCAUGGAAAACUAAGCACUAUAAAGAAUGCUUGAUCAGACUAUAUGAAAAAAAAAUACUUUUGUAGACAUCAGUAAUGCUGUUAAGGUUCUUGAAAGCGUUGUGCUCUUCUAAUUUUAAAAUUUUGUUUAUUCUUAUAGCUUUAAAAUUGCGGAGGGGGAAUUAUUCAGGCUCAUAGUGUGUAUAUCUUGUCUUGGAUGAUACAGCAUGAACUUCCUUCUCCUAUUGUCUUGCUGGGACCUUCAAUUGGAUAUCUUCCCACUAGCUUAAAUCUGGAGAAGACUAAACUUUUUAUUAAUCUACCUGAUUGUCCUCCUGCUUCAUCUUCCCUUGUUUUGAAGACUGCUUCUUGUCAAUUUUUCUGGUGGUAUAAGGUCUUGGAGAAACAUUACUUAAAGCUUUUCAUUGAUAGCUUUGGGAGAAUGGUUGAUCAUUUUUCAUUGUUGAGGGAUCUAGUUCAAGCUUUUGUGAUGUUUUCAUCCAAGUCAAUAGUAAAAAAAACAACCCUGAGGAAUAGUAGCCUGGGACCCUUUCUCUUGUUUUAUAAAGAACUGUUGCGGAGCAUUCUUUAAAUACUUUUUUCCAAGUCAGCUAUGAUCUUUCUAACUGACGAUCAUUCUUUAUAUACUUAAUUAGCUUGCUCAUCAGAAUGCCAUUUGAAAACUCUUUUAUACAUAUGACUACAAAAAUGUUGUAGACUGGAAAUCCUCUUGAGGAAUUAAUUUCAAAUGCUCUCUUCUAUGAUUUUGACAACUUGCUGGAGCAGCCUGCAUGGUUUGCAUUCCACUUGUCCAAUAAAGCCAAGAAAUAAUGAGAUGUUAAUUGGCAGAUGUGGAAUUACAAGUCUGUGUUGGUUUGAGAAUGGAAACUCUUGGCUUCUUCUCCUGCGGAAAAACUGCUGAAAGUAUUUCUCUGAGAUUCUAAUAAUUCAUCAUCGAGUCUAUGUGCUGGGAAAUGCAGUGACCCCAGACACUGAAGCUGGAAGUAAAUAUAUCUGAAUGCUCUAGAGAUGUUUGAAGCUUGCAACAUGUUUGCUCAUCUGCAAGUACUCAACAGAUUUGUAUGUCAACAUUUGGGUCUCCCCUCCCCUCCAAAAAAUAAAAUAAAAAAACCCUCCUGUGUUGACUGUCAGAGCAUUAAAAGAAUAUUAAAGGCUCUCAUAAUGAA